CCUACGGGGGGCAGCAGUGGGGAAUAUUGCGCAAUGGGCGAAAGCCUGACGCAGCGACGCCGCGUGAGGGAUGAAGGUCUUCGGAUCGUAAACCUCUGUCAGCAGGGAAGAACGGUCACGGGGCUAAGCAGCAGUGAAUGGACGGUACCGGCAAAGGAAGCACCGGCUAACUCCGGGCCAGCAGCCGCGGUAAUACGGAGGGUGCGAGCGUUAAUCGGAAUUACUGGGCGGAAAGCGCGCGUAGGCGGUAUGUCCAGUCCAGGGUGAAAUCCCCGCGCUCAACGUGGGAACGGCCUUUGAAACUGGCAACCUGGAGUGUGUGAGCGGAUAGUGGAAUUCCCGGUGUAGGCG
rnacentral:rRNA from 1 species